CAGUCAGCCCCUGCUGUGAGUUGAUUUGACCCAAAGAGCUGGGUUGAAACUACCCAAGACUCUGAAAAUAACCCCC